rnacentral:lncRNA from 1 species
GACCCUUUGGACCUUAAUGUAGACCAAUUUGAAAACGGGACCAAAAAUUAAGAAUCUGCAUACACAGUUAGAUUCGGCAUACCAAAGAACCCCAAUUAUUCAAUUUUUGAUGAAAUCAAACAAAGUUUAAUUUGGACCCUUUGGGCCCUUUAUUCCUAAACUGUUGGGACCAAAACUCUCAAAAUCAAUACCAACCUUCCUUUUAUGGUCAUAAACCUUGUGUUUAAAUUUCAUAGAUUUCUAUUUACUUAAACUAAAGUUAUUGUGCGAAAACCAAGAAUAAUGCUUAUUUGGGCCCUUUUUUGGCCCCUAAUUCCGAAACUGUUGGAACCAAAACUCCCAAAAUCAAUCCCAACCUUUCUUUUGUAGUCAUAAACCUUGUGUCAAAAUUUCAUAGAUUUCUAUUAACUUAAACUAAAGUUAUAGUGCGAAAACCAAGAAAAUGCUUAUUUGGGCCCUUUUUGGCCCCUUAUUCCUAAAAUGUGGGGACCAAAACUCCCAAAAUCAAUCCCAACCUUCCUUUUGUGGUCAUAAACCUUGUGUUAAAAUUUCAUAGAUUUCUAUUCACUUUUACUAAAGUUAGAGUGCGAAAACCAAAAGUAUUCGGACGACGACGACGCCGACGACGCAGACGACGACGACGACGACGACGACGACGCAGACGACGACGCCAACGUGAUAGCAAUAUACGACGAAAAAUUUUUCAAAUUUUGCGGUCGUAUAAAAAC